ACAAAUAUGGCUUCAAAGGCAUCCUCACUCAUGGCCUUCCCAUACAUAGUGGCUUGAGCAAUGAGGAACUCAGAAGGGAGACCUUGAAUUCCACCUUUGGUAGUCAUAAAUGAGAAGUACAAAUAUGGCUUCAAAGGCAUCCUCACUCAUGGCCUUCCCAUACAUAGUGGCUUGAGCAAUGAGGAACUCAGAAGGGAGACCUUGAAU
rnacentral:lncRNA from 1 species